GAGCAGGAUCUGUUACAGCCCGGCCGCGCGGUGCCCUGCUGUCGUUCCCCCUGCGCACAUCAGCUCGUUUCCUACUAUCCCUUCCUACUAUCCCUGUCCGCCUGCACUCCAGGGCCGGCAGGGACGCUUGGUCUCGGACAC
rnacentral:snoRNA from 1 species